UGGGGAAUUUUGCGCAAUGGGGGAAACCCUGACGCAGCAACGCCGCGUGGAGGAUGAAGUCCCUUGGGACGUAAACUCCUUUCGAUCGGGACGAUAAUGACGGUACCGGAAGAAGAAGCCCCGGCUAACUUCGUGCCAGCAGCCGCGGUAAUACGAGGGGGGCAAGCGUUGUUCGGAAUUAUCGGGCGUAAAGGGCGCGUAGGCGGUGCGGUAAGAGUGUUGUGAAAUCUUCGGGCUCAACUCGAAGUCUGCAACGCUGACUGCCGUGCUUGAGUGUGGGAGAGGUGAGUGGAAUUCCUGGUGUAGCGGUGAAAUGCGUAGAUAUCAGGAGGAACACCUGUGGCGAAAGCGGCUCACUGGACCACAACUGACGCUGAUGCGCGAAAGCUAGGGGAGCAAACAG
rnacentral:rRNA from 1 species